rnacentral:tRNA from 3 species
GGAGAGGUGACCGAGUGGUUUAUGGUGCUGGUCUUGAAAACCAGUGUGGCUUCACGGCUACCGGGGGUUCGAAUCCCUCCCUCUCCG